GGACAGCAGCGAAGUAUUGCGGCCCAAAUCGGCAGAUAUACAUGCAAAUAUUGGAUUUGAACAAUAUUGGCCAGGUGGAGAAUGGGUGUACAGGAAGGCGGAGUUGGAUCGCUGCAACACCUCCGCCUACUGCGGUAUCUUCAGCGAGGGAAAAGUAUGUGCAGGCAAUCAUGACUUGACCGCUCAUCAUACAUUUGAAAACUUCUGCGAACUCAAUGACGUGAAUUGCCGGGACGGCACUAUCACGGUGUACACCGAGUCAGCGAGAUUUAGGAACUACUAUGUAAGGUGGUACCCCGUGACCACGUCGGGG